AGUGAACGCUGGCGGUAGGCCUAACACAUGCAAGUCGAACGGCAGCACAGUAAGAGCUUGCUCUUACGGGUGGCGAGUGGCGGACGGGUGAGGAAUACAUCGGAAUCUACUUUUUCGUGGGGGAUAACGUAGGGAAACUUACGCUAAUACCUCAUACGACCUACGGGUGAAAGCAGGGGAACUUCGGACCUUGCGCGAUUGAAUGAGCCGAUGUCGGAUUAGCUAGUUGGCGGGGUAAAGGCCCACCAAGGCGACGAUCCUUAGCUGGUCUGAGAGGAUGAUCAGCCACACUGGAACGGAGACACGGUCCAGACUCCUACGGGAGGCAGCAGUGGGGAAUAUUGGACAAUGGGCGCAAGCCUGAUCCAGCCAUACCGCGUGGGUGAAGAAGGCCUUCGGGUUGUAAAGCCCUUUUGUUGGGAAAGAAAAGCAGCAGGUUAAUACCCCGCUGUUCUGACGGUACCCAAAGAAUAAGCACCGGCUAACUUCGUG
rnacentral:rRNA from 1 species